GACGAACGCUGGCGGCGUGCCUAAUACAUGCAAGUCGAGCGGAAGUUGGAGAGCUUGCUCUUCAACUUUAGCGGCGGACGGGUGAGUAACACGUGGGCAACCUGCCCUGCAGAUCGGGAUAACUCCGGGAAACCGGUGCUAAUACCGAAUAGUUUUCGCCACCUCCUGGUGGCGUACGGAAAGACGGUUUCGGCUGUCACUGCAGGAUGGGCCCGCGGCGCAUUAGCUAGUUGGGGGGGUAACGGCCCACCAAGGCGACGAUGCGUAGCCGGCCUGAGAGGGUGAUCGGCCACACUGGGACUGAGACACGGCCCAGACUCCUACGGGAGGCAGCAGUAGGGAAUCUUCCGCAAUGGACGAAAGUCUGACGGAGCAACGCCGCGUGAGUGACGAAGGUUUUCGGAUCGUAAAACUCUGUUGUGAGGGAAGAACAAGUACCAACUAACUACUGGUACCUUGACGGUACCUCACCAGAAAGCCACGGCUAACUACGUGCCAGCCGCCGCCGUAAUAC
rnacentral:rRNA from 1 species